rnacentral:misc_RNA from 1 species
GGAGAUUGAAGCUAAGAUUCGAGGGCCAUCAGUGUCAGAGUUAGUGCUGAAGAAGGCGAAGUGUCAGAAGAAUGAGCGGAUGUACUGUAACAACUGCAAAACAUCCAUUUUUGAUUUUCACAGGAACUGUUCUAGCUGUUCCUAUGAUCUAUGCCUUACUUGUUGCCGGGAGCUUAGAGAUGGUCACCUUAAGGGAGGCGAUGAAGAAGUCAUUGUGGAAUUCGUUGACAAGGGGGUUGAUUAUAUGCAUGGUGAUGUGAGGCCUGGUUCUUCAUCAGAUACCCGAACUUCAAGAAGGUCUAAAUCUUCCAAGAAGAUGGUUGAAAAUGAUUCGGUGGAUGAUGCCAGGCUUGCAUUUGAAAUGGAGCCUGGGGAUAAUGGAGGGCA